rnacentral:lncRNA from 1 species
AUGGAUGGAAAGGAUAUGGAGCCUCUUCACUCCUGGCCUGGGCUUAGACCUGCUGUGCAGCCUCUCAGUGGCACUAGGGUCCCCUUGUGUCACAGCGGUCUCGGGUUGGUGGCACUGCCCCAGGAUGUCCCAGGCUUCAUGAUGUCCAGGCUCCUCUGGUAUGCGGCCUCAGAUUUCUUUGCAUGGUCUCCCUUAUCCAGACGUGAGGGUGAACGCUGAGUUAUUCACGGGAGUCAAGAAACCACACGCAGCCCAAAGAGACGUUUGUUUCCCUGGAAUGAUUUGUGUGUGUUCACCUUAAAAUGCAACUCAGUAAAACAGGUGUGUUUUGAGGAAUGACUUUAAAUUACCCAGGUAAAAAUGUGACAGUUAAAUUUCAUCAUCUGUGCGGGUGUCCACAACCCCCUUCUGUGAUUGCGUGUGAGUUUGUGACUUGUGGUUAUUUUUGAAGAAAGAAAAUCUGUUGCUGAGGACUUCAGAGGGUGUGCUGGGAUUGUGUAGGGUGGACAUCGAGGGCUUCAGUGUGUGGCUUCCUUGAAGAGGUUCAAAUUAAGGCUGAGAGUCCCUACUCCAAAAUGCUCUGAAACCUGAAACAUUUCGAGCUUCCCCAUGACACUCGAAGGAAAUACCCUUCAGAGCACUUUGGAUUUCAGUCUGGGGAUGCUCAACUGGAAAGUGAAAUAUUGCAAGACUCUUCUGGCCCCAGGAGCUUGGAUAAGGACAUGGAGGGGGCCUGUGCCGGGUGUCCCUGGAGUGUGAGGCAGCCUGGGCUCGCUGGACUGGUUUUUGUAGGAGCCACAGAAGGGAAAGAGGGUCAAAGUGGACACGCCUGGGUCCUGAGAAGGCUGAACCAGAAGGAGGUGGGCACGGAGGGCAGCAGUUGAGUCCCCAGUGUCCGGGGCUCCUGUCCCUGGUGGAGUUGAGAGCCUCCUCUAGUUGUGGCCUCUCCCCUGUCAGCAGCCACUGAGGCCUGAAGGGAGAGGGGGCUGAGGAGAGGAGGGAAGGAUAGGCCUGCUUCUGGAGAGGGCCGGCGUCGGCCUGUGCUAGCCUCGUGUGUUACUCCUGCGUCCAGGGUGCACGGCCAUGCCUCGUGGUGUAGCGGUUCCUGGGAUGCACAGCACUCUUGUCUGCAGUAACGUCUUUGUCUCCAACCCUUGGAGGCAAGUUACCUUUUUCCCCAGUGAAAAGAGGUAGAAAAUCUUAUAGAAAUGCAUUUGCUCUAAUGUCUGUUUUCCGAUAAGAAGUGGUCGCUUAGGCUAAAUCUUUGGGAGGUCAAGACAGGAGGAUCACUUGAGGUGAAGGGGUUGAAGAUCAGCCUGGACAACAUAGCAAGACCCCAUCUGUAUAACAGAAAAAUUAGCUGAGUGUGGUGGUGCGUGCCUGUGGUCCCUGCUACUCUGGAGGCUGAGGUGGGAAGAUCACUUAAGGCUAC